rnacentral:lncRNA from 1 species
UGCAGACAGACUCCUUCUGUGUGUUGGUGUCUGCGAUGUUCCUAGGAGUGUGACUGUGGUGGAGGCUACAUAAAAAGACCAAACUGUGAACAAGGCUCCUUGCAUUUAGGUGGUCCAGGAAGCUAAAAGUGAAAUCGACUUUGCCUUUGGAAGCACCAGCCCUAACCAAGACCAAGAAAGCACAGGUGUGGUUCUCA